AGAGCCGGGUGCGCUUUGCGACAGAGCCGUAAAGGCGCGCGGGAACAUGGGGCUGUACGCUGCGGUGGCAGGCGUGCUGGCCGGCGUGGAGAGCCGCCAGGGCUCUAUCAAGGGGCUGGUGUACUCCAGCAACUUCCAGAACGUGAAGCAGCUGUACGCGCUGGUGUGCGAAACGCAGCGCUACUCCGCCGUGCUGGAUGCCGUGAUCUCCAGCGCCGGCCUCCUCAGUGCGAAGAAGCUGCAGCCGCACCUGGCCAAGGGUAGGGGCGGGGCGGGGAAGUGAACCCCGACGGUCAGCGCUUUGUCAUCUGGUUUCAGCCCCGCUGCCGUGCACGGCGGGACUGGAGCAAGUCGCUCACCUGAAAUGAGUGCUAGUGUAUGAGUUGUUGGGAAAGGGCUUUCGAGGGGGUGGGGGCCAAUGGAAGGCUCUGUUGGGACGGCACCAGGCGAGGUGUUGAGUUGGCUCGGCUCAAGGUUCUUCGGGGUGUGAGCUGGCAUGA
ensembl:lncRNA NSUN5P1 NSUN5 pseudogene 1